rnacentral:rRNA from 1 species
AAUCGAAGCAGUGAACUUAAGCCCCAGUAAACGGCGGCCGUAACUAUAACGGUCCUAAGGUAGCGAAAUUCCUUGUCGGGUAAGUUCCGACCCGCACGAAAGGCGUAACGAUUUGGGCACUGUCCCAACAACAGACUCGGUGAAAUUGUAAUUCCGGUGAAGAUGCCGGAUACCUGCGACAGGACGGAAAGACCCCAUGG